GACGUAGGGCGCGAGCGUUGUCCGGAUUUAUUGGGCGUAAAGAGCUCGUAGGCGGAUUGUUAAGUCAGGGGUGAAAUCCCGGAGCUCAACUCCGGAACUGCCUUUGAUACUGGCAAUCUUGAGGCUGGAAGAGGUUAGUGGAAUUCCCAGUGUAGAGGUGAAAUUCGUAGAUAUUGGGAAGAACACCAGUGGCGAAGGCGGCUAACUGGUCCAGAUCUGACGCUGAGGUGCGAAAGCGUGGGGAGCAAACAGGG
rnacentral:rRNA from 1 species